AUACGGAAGGUCCGGGCGUUAUCCGGAUUUAUUGGGUUUAAAGGGAGCGCAGGCGGCACUUCAAGCGUGACGUUAAAUUUCGGGGCUCACCCCCGUUUUGCGUCGCGAACUGUUGUGCUUGAGUAGGCGGCAGGGAGGCGGAAUUCGCGGUGUAGCGGUGAAAUGCUUAGAUAUCGCGAGGAACUCCGAUAGCGCAGGCAGCCUCCCGUUGCUUUACUGACGCUCAUGCUCGAAGUUGCGGGUAUCGAACAGGAUUAGAUACCCUGGUAGUCCGCACUGUAAACGAUGGAUGCCCGCUGUUGGGCCUUUUGGGUUCAGUGGCCAAGAGAAAUCGUUAAGCAUCCCACCUGGGGAGUACGCCGGCAACGGUGAAACUCAAAUGAAUUGACGGGG
rnacentral:rRNA from 1 species